ACGAAGGGAGCAAGCGUUGUUCGGAUUUACUGGGCGUAAAGGGUGUGUAGGUGGCUAGGUAAGUUGGAUGUGAAAGCCCUGGGCUUAACUCAGGAAUUGCAUUCAAAACUCUCUAGCUAGAGUAUGGAAGAGGAUGGUGGAAUUCCCAGUGUAGAGGUGAAAUUCGUAGAUAUUGGGAAGAACACCCGUGGCGAAGGCGGCCAUCUGGUCCAUUACUGACACUGAGGCACGAAAGCGUGGGGAGCAAACAG
rnacentral:rRNA from 1 species